CCCGUCAACAAGGCUGUAAUGUCAAAAUGUGAAUCAUUAUUAGGUAAUACUUGUAAAAUUUUGGGAAAAUAUAAAAAUCUUACAAAUUAAGAAACAAAGUGACACAAUUUAGAUAUUUGUUCCCACCCAAAUCUCAUGUUGAAAGGUAGUCUCCAGUCUUGAGGUAGUACCGGGUCAGAAACGUUUGGAUCAUAGGGGCAGAUCCCUCAUCAAUGAGUUGAGCCACCCUCUACGUAAUAAGUGAGCUCUUGUUCUGAUUUCGUACGAUAUCUGGUAUUUUAAAAAUAUGUGGCACCUCCCCUCCUACUUCCUCUUGCUUUUUCUUUUGCCAUGUGACAUGCCUACUCUCUGCUUCAUCUUUCACCGUAAGUGAAAGCUUCCUGAGGCUUCACCAGAAGCCGAACAGAUGCCAGGACCGUGUUUCCUCUACAGCCUGCAGAACUCAGAAUCCAUCUUACCUACAGAGGAACUUGACCCAGGGAAGCAAGUGCUCCUAUCCUGUCUCUACUUGAAAGUACCUGUCUUUCCUUAGAUUUUGGGUGAUGCUUCUCUCAUGGCCCUUGCCAAAAUUCAGCUGAAAGCCAGAAAGCAAAGGAACCUACUAAUGCCAUCCAUGCAGGUCAGCAUGGAGCUGGGUGAAAAUGAAUAGAAAGGAGAUCUGGAGGUGAAAGGAAAGAUGGUCAGCAC
rnacentral:lncRNA from 13 species